AGAGAGAGACAGAGACAGAGAGAGACAGAGACAGAGGAAACAAAAGAGUAAACAGAAUUCAUAGAUCAGCAUAUUAAAGACAUGGGAAUUUAGCUAAGAAUUUGAUUUGCUUAGCAGCUAGUUAGGUUGAUUUAUUACUAUUGCAACAAUUAUUAGCGUUAAUAUAGUUGAACAUCCAUUGGCCUUUGUUAAAAGGGAAUUCUCUCUCUCUGCCUCA
rnacentral:misc_RNA from 1 species